rfam:Camelus ferus unplaced genomic scaffold scaffold1210, whole genome shotgun sequence.
GAAGGUAUAGCUCAGUGGUAGAGCAUGUGCUUAACAUCCAUGAGGUCCUGGGUUCAAUCCCCAGUACCUCCA